rnacentral:lncRNA from 1 species
CGCACAGAUGGCAGGGACCCUCCCUGAGCUCGACGAUCAGGGAGCUGAGCCCAGAGACAGCAAACUCAGUGAGCAUCAGGGAUGUGAUAAAUGUCCCAGGAGCCCACAGGCCACCCUUCUUGGUGUCUGCAGAGGGGUCUGAUCUUGCCACUGCCCUCCAAGAGCUCCAUGAAGGCCGUGCUCUGAGACCAAGAAGAUGCGGCACGCCACAGCCUGCCCAGCAGUCUUCCUGGAGAGAAGAGUUGGCUCCACUUAAUGGCCUGGCCCCAAGCGCUCUCACAGACACCCGCCAGGCCAGGGCUCUGGUGUCCAUGUGAACAUCUGCCGCCCCCGUAAAGCUGCAGCAGUUGCCUGUCACCAAGACGUCACUCCGUAAAUCUGCACGACAACUCGAGCAUUGAAACUGGGGUGCUUCCAGUUCAGGAAACUUCUCGAGCCCCAACCCAAGGCCGCACAUCGAAGGUACUCAUCAGAUGUUUGUUAAUCAAAGAAUGACAAGGUGAAGGCAUAAGUGAGUGAAACGAAUUUUUCUCGACUUUAUGGUGAAACACGUGGGUGCACACUUGUCAGAUUUAAGGUGAUGUAGAAAUGAACUAAUGAAAGACCAUCCCUCUGGCCAUCACUGCUAGAGAGAUCAGUGCUCUCAGUGGCACCCAGCGCCCCUGAAGCUGGCCAGCG